CUGAUGAUUGUUUCCUCGUAGGAAUGCUGAGACUGCGGUUAAUCGAGCUAGUAUUUAAUCGACGAAAUUCGACGAAACUUUUUGCAGUCGGUCUCGACUCUUCGUGACUUGAAGAGAACGCGGGGCUGCCAGCAUCAAUGGUGUAGUUCUAGCAUUUGGACGCCUUGCGGCUAAUGUAGCGGAGCCAGUAUGAAUUAUUUCAACUUUAUGGCAGAAAAGGGCUAAUUUUUCUUUCAGCUGCUGCUGCUUAUUAUAGAAUCCAGCCGAGAAGACAUGGACAUCUGUAUACUCGACCGCGCUUAUAUCCUUUAUCCGUUUUCUCAAUGGGACAAUUUAUUAUUUGAACCAGCCAAGUGUAUUCAUUCUAAUACGCACUUUGUAGCGUGAAGGGCUUCCAAAUAUGCCCUUCAAUCCUCUUUCCAUUUUAUUCAAUUACUACUAUGUUGCAUCAACUAAAUCGGACAAUACAAUUUGAACAUCUUAAACUA